CAAGGUGUUAAAUCGUCAGGAUGAGAACCGUAAAGGUUCGAGUCUCGCAAAGCGAGACAACAUCACAUCAGGUGAUGGCCCGAAGGGCGAGGCCAAAGGCCGAGUUAUCCUGCACGACCCACCA
rnacentral:sRNA from 1 species